GUCAAAUUUUGCCGCGCGGAGUGCUAAAAAAAUGAAAAAAAAAAUCCGAUUGGGACAACAUUAGUGAAUUUUGCUAGAUAGUUGAGCAAAACACGGUGAAAUAAGACCGUUUUCAUUCUAGAUGAUUCGAGCCACACGCACGGAUCACUGGACGGCUCUCUGUACGCGACCAUCCUCAACACCCGAGAUCUCCUACCAGAGUUGGAGACGGUGGACAAACGGCCCUGAUCUCACUGCCGUCCGGAACGGAACGGAAAUCCGAUCGCGAACGGACACCAUCGUCCGUUGCCACCAGUAAUGCCUCCACCGCUGAGUUCCUUGGCCCUAAACUCGGUGAGUUAAGCGGGAAACGCAAUGGGGCCGGCAACGGAAUGCGGAAGCGCUGCGUUGUACAUAUAUGCUAACCGUGGCUAUGCUAACCACCUACAAUCUAAUUUUCAACAUAUAUGGAUCAUCCCGAAACGCAUGCUGCUUUUAUAAAUAUUAUUACAAUUAUUGUGAAAUUAUUAUUAUCAAUAAACAACUAUGUAGGGCUUGGGAGGGAAGGGGUGAUUGCGUUGCUGGGCUGUUUUAACUAUCCGAACUAUAUAUGCUCUGAUCACGGUGCGUGAUUGUAGCUAGACAUUCUUAACUUAUUUCUUAAACAUAUUUUUUUUUGUGGGAUUUUUUCAGCGUAGUUUAUGCUAAUAAUCCUUAUAUAUCCUGAACUUACCGAAGGUUUACCGAGUCCUCUAACGUUGCGAGGUUACGCAAAAUGUGUCUACAGAACUUGUAGUUCAGGAGGUUCACCAGGUGCUCCCAAGUUGCAAGAUAACGUAAAAAUGUGUCGUUUGAACUCGUCGUCCAGAAGGUUUAUCAAGUCCUCUAAGGUUGCGAGGUAACGCAAAAUGUAUUUGCAGAACUUGUAGUUCAGAAGGUUUACCAAAUCCCCUCAAAUUGCGCGGUGACGCAAAAUAUAUCAUUGUAAGGUAGGUCAUUCUGAUGUUUCUAACUAAAGAACUGCAAGGUGAUGCCAAACAAGUCUUCUUGAUCAAUUUUGUAGCCUAAAAGGUUCACCAUGUCCUCCCAGAACUGCAAGGUGAUGCCAAAGAAGUCUUUCACAUCAACUCUGUAUUUUAAAAUGUUCACCAAGUCCUCCCAGAACUGCAAGGUGAUGCUAAACAAGUCUUUCACAUCAACUCUGUAUUUUAAAAUGUUCACCAAGUCCUCCCAGAACUGCAAGGUGAUGCCAAACAAGUCUUCUUGAUCAAUUUUGUAGCCUAAAAGGUUCACUAUGUCCUCCCAGAACUGCAAGGUGAUGCUAAACAAGGCUUCAUCAAUUUUGUAGUCUAAAAGGUUCACCAUGUCCUCCCAGAACUGCAAGGUGAUGCUAAACAAGUCUUUCACAUCAACUCUGUAUUUUAAAAUGUUCACCAAGUCCUCCCAGAACUGCAAGGUGAUGCCAAACAAGUCUUCUUGAUCAAUUUUGUAGCC